rnacentral:rRNA from 1 species
AAUAUUGGACAAUGGGCGAAAGCCUGAUCUAGCCAUGCCGCGUGGAUGAUGAUGGCCCUAGGGUUGUAAAGUCCUUUCGACGGGGAAGAUAAUGACGGUACCCGUAGAAGAAGCCCGUGCGAACCUCGUCCCAGCACCCGCGGUAAUACGAAGGGGGCUAGCGUUGCUCGGAAUCACUGGGCGUAAAGCGCACGUAGGCGGCUUUUUAAGUCAGGGGUGAAAUCCUGGAGCUCAACUCCAGAACUGCCUUUGAUACUGGAGAGCUUGAGUUCGGGAGAGGUGAGUGGAACUGCGAGUGUAGAGGUGGAAUUCAUAGAUAUUCGCGAGAACACCAGUGGCGGAGGCGGCUCACUGGCCCGAUGCUGGCGCUGAGGUGCGAAAGCGUGGGGAGCAAACAGG